rnacentral:lncRNA from 1 species
GGUGUAUGUGCAAAUCUGCAUUAUGCAUAUCGGUGUCAUCAAAUAUUGCAUGAUGCUCGAUUUUAUUAGAAGGCGGUGGCAAAGUUUGAGUGGUAAUUGAGUUGAUGGCAGCAAUAGAUAAGUCAAGCAAUGGGCUAGAAGGCUCAACUGCACGAAUGCCUUAAAUGAAAAGGGAUUGCAGAAGUUAUCAUUAGAAUUUUG